rnacentral:lncRNA from 1 species
ACUCUCCUAACAACUCCAUAAAGAGGGUUGUCAUCUUCCUCCGCAUCAUACUCCUCAACAUCUUCAUCGCUACUUUCAGAUUCAUAGACGUAAGAAUCCUCCUCACUCGGGUGAAUUGUGAGAGUAUUCCUUUUUAGGCAUUCACUAGCAAUAUGCCCACGUUCUUGGCACUUGUAACAAGUCCUCUUGAAUCCUUCUUGCUUAAAACUAGAUUUUCCACUUUGAAACUUUGAAG